rfam:Erinaceus europaeus unplaced genomic scaffold scaffold01410, whole genome shotgun sequence
AGAUGUGAAGGUGAUCUGGCUGUGACAUCUGUCACCCCACUGAUCUCCAGGGUUGAUUUGGCUGAUCUGGCUGGCUAGGCAGGUGUCCCCUUCCUCCCUCACUGCUCCAUGUGCGUCCCUCCCGAAGCUGCACGCUCGGUCAAAGAGGACGGCCUUCCCCGAAUAGAGACGGACCGGUCUUUGGUCGAGGGUAUACAAGUAGCUGCACUCCCCUGCUAGAACCUCCAAACAAGCUCUGAAGGUCCAUUCAUUUUUAUUGACUUUAAAUUCUCAUGCAAAAGCUUAUUAGAUUAUUAAGGUUAUCCCCCCACACAGUGGG